ACGGGUGAGUAACACGUGGGUAACCUGCCUUGAUGAUUGGGACAACCCCGGGAAACCGGGGCUAAUACCAAAUGUGUUCACAUUCCAUAAGGAGUGUGAGGAAAGGAAGCUUCGGCCUCCGCAUCGAGAUGGGCCCGCGGCGCAUUAGCUUGUUGGUGGGGUAACGGCCUACCAAGGCGACGAUGCGUAGCUGGUCUGAGAGGACGAUCAGCCACACUGGGACUGAGACACGGCCCAGACUCCUACGGGAGGCAGCAGUGGGGAAUCUUGCACAAUGCACGAAAGUGUGAUGCAGCAACGCCGCGUGUGGGAAGACGGCCUUCGGGUUGUAAACCACUUUCAGUUGGGACGAAGCUUCGUCGGUUAAUAGCCGCGCGGAGUGACGGUACCUUCACAAGAAGCCCCGGCUAACUACGUGCCAGCAGCCGCGGUAAUACGUAGGGGGCAAGCGUUGUCCGGAAUCAUUGGGCGUAAAGCGCGUGUAGGCGGCUCGGUAAGUCUGCUGUUAAAGUCCAGGGCUCAACCCUGGGAUGCCGGUGGAUACUGUCGAGCUCGAGUCCGGAAGAGGAGUGUGGAAUUCCUG
rnacentral:rRNA from 1 species